rnacentral:rRNA from 1 species
AACGAACGCUGGCGGCAUGCCUAAUACAUGCAAGUCGAACGUGAAAGCUUCUUCGGAAGUGAUUAGAGUGGCGCACGGGUGAGUAACACGUAGGUGAUCUACCCUGUAGUGGGGAAUAACUCGGAGAAAUUCGAGCUAAUACCGCAUAAGUUCUGCAACUUUGAAAGGAGCAGAAGAAAGAUGGCCUCUGCAUAUGCUAUCGCUACUGGAUGAGCCUGCGCAGCAUUAGCUUGUUGGUGGGGUAAUGGCCUACCAAGGCUGCGAUGCUUAGCGGGUCUGAGAGGAUGAUCCGUCACACUGGAACUGAGACACGGUCCAGACUCCUACGGGAGGCAGCAGUAGGGAAUAUUGCGCAAUGGGCGAAAGCCUGACGCAGCAAUGCCGCGUGUGUGAGGAAGGCCUUCGGGUUGUAAAGCACUGUCAGAGUG